AGCGAACGCUGGCGGCAGGCCUAACACAUGCAAGUCGAACGAACCUCUCGGGGUUAGUGGCGGACGGGUGAGUAACACGUGGGAACGUGCCUUUAGGUUCGGAAUAACUCAGGGAAACUUGUGCUAAUACCGAAUGUGCCCUUCGGGGGAAAGAUUUAUCGCCUUUAGAGCGGCCCGCGUCUGAUUAGCUAGUUGGUUGAGGUAAUGGCUCACCAAGGCGACGAUCAGUAGCUGGUCUGAGAGGAUGAUCAGCCACAUUGGGACUGAGACACGGCCCAAACUCCUACGGGAGGCAGCAGUGGGGAAUCUUGCGCAAUGGGCGAAAGCCUGACGCAGCCAUGCCGCGUGAAUGAUGAAGGUCUUAGGAUUGGAAAAUUCUUUCACCGGGGACGAUAAUGACGGUACCCGGAGAAGAAGCCCCGGCUAACUUCGUGC
rnacentral:rRNA from 1 species